AUUCAUUGUUUGCUAAGUACCACCAUGGGCUGGCAGAUAGGGUCCGUGGGCACAUGAGUGGGGCCGGCUGUCCCAGCCUCCUCCGCUCCAGCCUGUCUGCACACUGGCACCCUGAGGACACCCUUCCACGGUGCUGUCUGUCUGUGUCCCAGUGACCAAUAUCAAUGACGGGCUGCUGAGGGGCAUCAGUAUGCUGAACAAGGCCCGAGAGGAGCACAGAGUCCCAGAGAGGAGCACCUCCAUCGUCAUCAUGCUGACUGACGGGGAUGCCAAUGUUGGUGAGAGCAGACCCGAAAAAAUCCAAGAGAAUGUGCGGAAUGCUAUCGGGGGAAAGUUCCCCUUGUAUAACCUGGGCUUUGGCAACAAUCUGAAUUAUAACUUCCUGGAGAACAUGGCCCUGGAGAACCAUGGGUAUGCCCGGCGCAUUUAUGAGGACUCUGAUGCCGAUUUGCAGUUGCAGGGCUUCUAUGAGGAGGUGGCCAACCCACUGCUGACAGGCGUGGAGGUGGAGUACCCCGAGAACGCUAUCCUGGACCUCACCCA
rnacentral:sRNA from 1 species